rnacentral:rRNA from 1 species
AUUGAACGCUGGCGCAUGCUUUACACAUGCAAGUCGAACGGCAGCACGGACUUCGGUCUGGUGGCGAGUGGCGAACGGGUGAGUAAUACAUCGGAACGUGCCCAGUUGUGGGGGAUAACUACUCGAAAGAGUAGCUAAUACCGCAUGAGAACUGAGGUUGAAAGCAGGGGAUCGCAAGACCUUGCGCAACUGGAGCGGCCGAUGGCAGAUUAGGUAGUUGGUGGGAUAAAAGCUUACCAAGCCGACGAUCUGUAGCUGGUCUGAGAGGACGACCAGCCACACUGGGACUGAGACACGGCCCAGACUCCUACGGGAGGCAGCAGUGGGGAAUUUUGGACAAUGGGCGAAAGCCUGAUCCAGCAAUGCCGCGUGCAGGAUGAAGGCCUUCGGGUUGUAAACUGCUUUUGUACGGAACGAAAAGCUUCGGGUUAAUACCCUGGAGUCAUGACGGUACCGUAAGAAUAAGCACCGGCUAACUACGUGCCAGCCGCCGCCGUAAAAC